CCUACGGGAGGCAGCAGUCGGGAAUAUUGCACAAUGGAGGAAACUCUGACGCAGUGACGCCGCGUGUGUGAAGAAGUUUUUCGGAAUGUAAACUAUUAUCAGCAGGAACGAGACAAGACAGUACCUGACUAAGAAGCUCCGGCUAACUACGUGCCAGCAGCCGCGGUAAUACGUAGGGGGCGAGCGUUAUCCGGAAUCACUGGGUGUAAAGGGUGCGUAGACGGGAAUGCAAGCUAGUUGUGAAAGUCGUGGGCUCAACUGACGAACUGCAACUAAAACUAUUCGGCUGGAGUGCAGGAGAGGUAAGUGGAAUUCCUAGUGUAGCAGUGAAAUGCGUAGAUAUUAGGAGGAACACCAGUGGCGAAGGCGACUUACUGGACUGUAACUGACGUUGAGGCACGAAAGUGUGGGGAGCAAACAGGAUUAGAUACCCUAGUAGUC
rnacentral:rRNA from 1 species